rnacentral:rRNA from 2 species
ACAGAUGCUAAUACCGCAUAACAACUUGGACCGCAUGGUCCGAGCUUGAAAGAUGGCUUCGGCUAUCACUUUUGGAUGGUCCCGCGGCUAUUAGCUAGAUGGUGGGGUAACGGCUCACCAUGGCAAUGAUACGUAGCCGACCUGAGAGGGUAAUCGGCCACAUGGGACUGAGACACGGCCCAAACUCCUACGGGAGGCAGCAGUAGGGAAUCUUCCACAAUGGACGAAAGUCUGAUGGAGCAACGCCGCGUGAGUGAAGAAGGGUUUCGGCUCGUAAAACUCUGUUGUUAAAGAAGAACAUAUCUGAGAGUAACUGUUCAGGUAUUGACGGUAUUUAACCAGAAAGCCACGGCUAACUACGUGCCAGCAGCCGCGGUAAUACGUAGGUGGCAAGCGUUGUCCGGAUUUAUUGGGCGUAAAGCGAGCGCAGGCGGUUUUUUAAGUCUGAUGUGAAAGCCUUCGGCUCAACCGAAGAAGUGCAUCGGAAACUGGGAAACUUGAGUGCAGAAGAGGACAGUGGAACUCCAUGUGUAGCGGUGAAAUGCGUAGAUAUAUGGAAGAACACCAGUGGCGAAGGCGGCUGUCUGGUCUGUAACUGACGCUGAGGCUCGAAAGUAUGGGUAGCAAACAGGAUUAGAUACCCUGGUAGUCCAUACCGUAAACGAUGAAUGCUAAGUGUUGGAGGGUUUCCGCCCUUCAGUGCUGCAGCUAACGCAUUAAGCAUUCCGCCUGGGGAGU